GGCACGAUCAAGCCCCGGAAGUGACAGGGGAAACGCGACAGGCCCUUCUUCUUCUUCUUCUUCUCUAGUAUUAAUGGCGGGCGCGACAGGCCCUGGCACGCACGCCCGCUUUAAGCCCGACAGUGGAAACGCGGCUAUUAACUCCACUGGCCUCGCUCCGUUCCCACGGCUCUCGGCCCCGCCCCUCUCGGCACAAAGGUUAAUCCAGACAAUUGCUGAAAAUUGGUGAUUUUGAGGUGAAAUUAGGCACGCAGCACUCUGGGAUUUGACAUAAACAUAGUUACAAGCUGUUCGCUUUCUUUUUCCAUGGCCCGUCUGUCUGGAUAAUCUUGUUACGUUUCGUUUUUCCAGAGGGACAAAUUCUGCUUGCUCGAACGAGCUGUGGCCCAGUCUGGAGGUCAAGGCUAUAGUGGAGAGGAGGGGGGCUGCUCUGUCAGAGAUAAGAGAGCAGAGAAUGAUGUGGCCAAAUGGCAUGGAGAGAGAAUUGGCGGAAUUAUCUGAUAUUCCCAGGAUUUAAACUUGACUGCGAAUGCCAUCCAGCACCAAACAAGAUUCUAUUCUUUCUCUCUGAAAGGAUUUAUAAAUUGUCAACCUUUUAUUUUUUUAAUUU